UACAGAGGGGGCAAGCGUUGUUCGGAAUUACUGGGCGUAAAGGGCGCGUAGGCGGCCUGCUAAGUCAAACGUGAAAUCCCUGGGCUCAACCCAGGAACUGCGUCCGAUACUGGUUGGCUUGAAUCCGGGAGAGGGAUGUGGAAUUCCAGGUGUAGCGGUGAAAUGCGUAGAUAUCUGGAGGAACACCGGUGGCGAAGGCGACAUCCUGGACCGGCAUUGACGCUGAGGCGCGAAAGCCAGGGGAGCAAACGGG
rnacentral:rRNA from 1 species